GACGAACGCUGGCGGCGUGCUUAACACAUGCAAGUCGAACGGCGAAGGUGGAGCUUGCUCCGCCGGAUCAGUGGCGAACGGGUGAGUAACACGUGGGCAACCUGCCCCUCACUUCGGGAUAACUCCGGGAAACCGGGGCUAAUACCGGAUACGCACUCCUUGGGCAUCCUCGGAGGUGGAAAGUUUUUCGGUGAGGGAUGGGCCCGCGGCCUAUCAGCUUGUUGGUGAGGUAGUGGCUCACCAAGGCGACGACGGGUAGCCGGCCUGAGAGGGCGACCGGCCACACUGGGACUGAGACACGGCCCAGACUCCUACGGGAGGCAGCAGUGGGGAAUAUUGCGCAAUGGGCGAAAGCCUGACGCAGCAACGCCGCGUGCGGGAUGAAGGCCUUCGGGUUGUAAACCGCUUUCAGCAGGGAAGAAGCCGCAAGGUGACGGUACCUGCAGAAGAAGCACCGGCUAACUACGUGCCAGCAGCCGCAGUAA
rnacentral:rRNA from 1 species